rnacentral:lncRNA from 1 species
UCGUAAUUCCAGCAGCUCCAUCUGAAACAAAAUUUAAGACCAAUUGUUAAUAAAAUUGUAUCGAUCCACCUACUAUGAUUUCAUAUAGACUCAUCUACAUAAGGCUAAUGCCAUGGAUGUUGCUUCCAGUGUUUUCACGUUAAGAUAACAUACAAUCCAAGUCUAGAAUCAUACAACUAUAACAAAAAGAAGUGGGAUUGCUUGCUGUGAUAUAGAUAAACAUAUGUGGGUCAUCAGAUGGUGUUCAUAUUAUAGAUCAAACCUACUAAUGGAUCAAUAAUAAUCAAUUUACACUGUAGGCAGUGCUAAUCUAAAAGCAACAAAAAUAUUUUGUAUUUAUAGAGCUUGCAUGUCAUUAUAUUACUUACUUUAUCAAUCAACACUUUGUUCUUAUAUUUUUAGGGCCUCAAAGAUUAUGGCACACAUCGUUGAAUGCAUCGACUACAGGAAACGAGACAUGGACGAUCAAAGUCAAAGUUUUAAGACUUUGGGACACAAUUAACUUAUUAACUAAUGACUCAUUAGCACUGAUAUGAUUUUAUUAAAUAAAAAGGUGCAAGUAUUACAUAUAUAAUGUCUCUUCAAUUUACCCUUUCCAAAGUUUGCUGAUGUUUUCUCUCUAUGUAAGGUGAUGUAAUCGAUGCUUCUAUUGGGAGCAAACUGGUCAAUAAAUUUAAAUCAAAAAUUAAAGAGGUACAAGACCUUCAAAGUCUGGGAGUAUGAAAAAUACCGACCAUUUUAGAACAAUCUCAAAAUAAGUUUUGUCUAUGAUACAACGGUGAAGGAAGUGGAUGAAGGAAAAUCCAAGUUUUUGGACUACCACUUCGAAUUUGCUGAUGGUGAUACCUUGGAUAGUAGGGUGAUUAUUGAUAAUAGUGCUCAGGUACAAUCAAAAUCCAUAUCAAAGAACAAGCAUCGGUGAACGAGAUUUUUAAGUAUGAUUAUGUGCAGAUGUCAUUGGAUUGCUUACUGCAAUGAAGCCAAUAUAGCAAGUGCAAAAAUAAAUAAAGGGACGGGCAUGGCGCAAACUUCAAACGUCCGUGAGAUUGAAGUCCGAGUAAGUGAUUAUAUUCUAUAGAUAUUUUUGAAUUACAUAUAUGAUCUUUAUAUCACUUUUUCGUGAUUAAAUGCAUGAAGUGGUGAGAUAAUCAGAAUCACGCUAUCAGGGGUAUUUGCAAAUAUGGUGAAUGAAAAGCUUUUAAACAAAUAAGCAAUAGUGAUUGUCACUUCAAAUUUGGUCAGAAAAUUCAGUGGUGAGAACUAUAAUCUCUUUGUGUAAACCUGAAUCCAAAUUACUGACAAUUUAUUACCAGGGAUAUCACUACGCACGACAAAUGCAUCUAAAGUCUUCCUGGACUCUGAAAUUAUAGAGACAGACCAAAUUAUUGAGAGGUAUGCAUAUAAUCAGUGGCGGAGCUUAGUGGAGUGCAAACUGGGCCAUCGCCCCCUGCACAUAAAAAAACUAGUAUAUAUCCUCUAGUAUUGGCUUCAUAUUUUCAGUAAAAAUCAGCCUAAAGCAGUCUUUUGUGCCCCCCCCAGCCCAUUUGCCCUCCCAUAAAUUCAGCCCAAGCUCCGCCACUGCAUAUAAUAAUGCAAUUAUGUAUGUUUUUGAAGUUACAAGUUUAUGUGCUCAUAUUGUAAUGUAUUAUAGGCAUUGUGAAAGCGAUGUUAUUCCAACAAUGAUUGGAAUUGACGAAAGCACCCAAGGAACGAUUGAAGAGCAAAUGUUCUACAAUAAAAAAACAUUGAGGGAAAUUAUAGAACUACGAUAUGUUGAUGUUAAAAGAAAGGUUUCCCUCUAGCCUUGAUCAUAAAAAUCUUACACCUUCUCUAUUUUACAUUAUUAUGCAAACUCGUAUGUUUUAUCUUUAAUAGGAAUUUGUAUGCAGAACAAAAGCAACAAUUGAUGAUAUUAUAACAGAAACACCAUAACUAUAUUUGCACUUCCUGUCAUUAAGUACCUGAAAAUCCCAACAUAAGGUGAGCAUGCUAUGCACUAGAUUGUCUUUGGUGCCAUUUCUUUUAAUAAUAGACCAGUAAUAACUGACACUAUCAUAUUAGGUACCUAAUUAAACUCAAGGUACGCAAGGACAGGACAACAACAACUUUCGUUAUGUUUAUGAGGUAGCAAAGAGUCUUUUAGGCAACAUAUCUGCAUCAACCCUAUUAGAGCAGGAGGGAUUCAACAAGAUAGUACCAGAUAUUAUCUAAGACCUUUAUGGCAGAACACUCAUAUUCCGACUUAAGUUAAAUUCAAGGAAUUUAUAAGAGUGUAUGGAAAAAAUUAAAGUGAGCUUCACUCUUGAAGUUGACGACAGACUUGAAAUGGACUAUUCAAAUGAAAUAGUUGAAGAGGUAUGCACAUGCACAUUUCAGUAUCUUAAAUGGUUUAUAAAAUUAUAAUGCGAGUACAUUCUUUAUAGGGCAUACUGGAAAGGCAAGACACACAAGGUUCUUCAAAUUUUGCUAUGCAGAAGUCCGAUAACGAGGUAUUGCCACUAAUUAAUGGUUUUGCUGUCACGAGUGUGCAAUUUUUGUUUUAAAAUAUUUUAAAAAAUAUAGGUCAACCACUCCUCCAAGAAUGCAAGAAAUGAUGAGGAGGAUAUGUGCUGAAAGGAAACCUCUAAAUCAUCUAACAAAAAGCAACAAAGGAGGACAAAGAGACAUAAGUCUAGCAAAAUAUAUGAAAAAGAUGUGACAAUGUUUGCUUCCAGAAAUAGCAGAAAACCAAUUGUUAAAAUCAAAGCUCCUGAUGACGAGGUAACAAAUUGGAAAAAAUUAUCUUCCUGUAUAUGCAUUGAUAAUUGUUUACAGCCUAUUUAUUUAUGACAUCACAAAACACACAGGAAGAGCCAAAAACUGUUUCGCCGAAGAUAAAAGGAGAGACCAAACAUAAGAGAUGUAAACAGGAUUUGAAAAGAAAGGCUUUGCGAAAUUAAAAAAAGUUCUUAUAGAGAGCAAUCUAUUCGAUAAUGAGGUAUUCUUUCAAAUUACUUACCCUCAUCUAUAUGUACUAAAAAUAAUAAUCCAUGACAGUGUAUCGGUCAUUUCCCACUUUGGUCUAAUUUUGUAUGCAUUUGAUCUUAUAUAUGUAGCAGAAUACAUUGUUAAAUAUGACAAUGAUAUACAAGCUUAAUAUCUACCAUGCAUUUACGGAAAUUUAUGAAUGUUUCAAUAAUAACAUUGUUCUUGCAUUUAUGCAGCGAGACAACAAUAGUCACGCCGACAACAACUGUACCAGCACAGAUGACCGUAAUGAAGAAUGGAACACCAAAACUAGAAGCAGAACAAAGAAGGAAAGGACCGAUUGCAUAAAGAGGAGGAAAAUAUCAUCUGAAGACAUGCAGCCAACCUUGUAUGAUAGACCUAAGAGGAUUAAGAGAGAACCAGCGAGAUACAUGGGCUAGGCAUUAUACAGCAGCAAGUGCUUACAUACGUCCAAUAGCUGCAAGAGUUGAAGAAUAUACUAUACACACUCUAUACUUAGUAGUAAUUUGCAUUGAUAAACAAUUAUGUUUAUUUUAUGCUCCACGGGAGUACGGAUUGAAGUUAUCAUGUGUACUCAGACAUAUACUUAAAUUAUUUUUAGUUACACUCGCUUGUGUCUUCUUUAGGAUCUACCUCAUUCAACACUAACAACGCCCAUAAAGAAAUAAACAUUGAAUUGAAGAAAGGAAGGAGGCAUACCCAACUGGAGAUGAAGAUACAUAGCAUGAUUGGAAUAUAUAAACAUUCCUAGAAAACACCUCCUUAAGAUUGCCAUGUGGCUCUCUUACUCUUCAUGUCACAAAUAUGAUAUCACCUGUCCAAAUCAAAUAAAAAAAUUGAUAUCUAAACAAGAUAAUACAUUAAAUUACUAUAAAACAGACUAAAGGAAAACAUUUUGCGAUUACUAUAAAACUUCUAGAUGGGUGCUGGCUUUGAUGCUUGGCAGAGUAGAAGUCAUGUACAUCGCCAACACACACCGUAUGGUGACGCACAAGAUGCCCUGGUAAAGUAUACACUAACUUAUACAGUAUAUACUUACAUUUUUAAAAUGUACACUAACUUAUUAGUAUCUACUCUAUACCUCAUUCAACACUUAUAGAUCACUUUAAAAAACAUGCUAUUCACGAAUUUAAGGGAAAAAUAUGAAAUACUUACAACUAACAAGCAUUUCCUUAAUUAAAUUAUAUUGGUUGAAUGGCACAAGGACAGGAAAAGGCUAGGAGAAAGGGGAAAUAUUACAGUCAGGAAAAGGAAAAAUAAGGACCUGCAGCUCAACUUGGAACAAUGUUGCCGUUGCAGGCCUGCGGGAGAUGAAAUCCAAGACCAAAUCAACUGCACGGACGACAGCAUCAACGGCAGCGUCCAGAUCGAUGAUCUCGCCUACACUCUGGUGUAGUAGAUCCUUGGGCCCUGCUAACCCU